rnacentral:rRNA from 1 species
UACGUAGGGUGCGAGCGUUGUCCGGAAUUAUUGGGCGUAAAGAGCUCGUAGGCGGUCUGUCGCGUCGAUCGUGAAAACUUGGGGCUUAACCCUGAGCUUGCGGUCGAUACGGGCAUGACUGGAGUUCGGCAGGGGAGACUGGAAUUCCUGGUGUAGCGGUGAAAUGCGCAGAUAUCAGGAGGAACACCGGUGGCGAAGGCGGGUCUCUGGGCCGAUACUGACGCUGAGGAGCGAAAGCGUGGGGAGCGAACAGGA